AUGGAGCUGCUGCCGCUGCUGACGGUGCUGCUGCUGGCGCACGCGGCGGCGUACCUGGCGUGGCAGGCCCUGGCGCGGCGGCGGCGGGCGCGCUGCUACCUGCUCGACUUCGCCUGCCACAAGCCCUCCGACGACCGCAAGGUCACCACCGAGAUGGCCGGCGCCGUCAUCGAGCGCAACAAGCGCCUCGGCAUGCCCGACUACCGCUUCCUGCUCAAGGUCAUCGUCAACUCCGGCAUCGGCGAGCACACCUACUGCCCGCGCAACGUGCUCGACGGCCGCGAGGAGUGCGCCACCCACUACGACGCGCUCGAGGAGAUGGACGCCUUCUUCGACGACGCCGUGCGCGGCGUGUUCGAGAAGACGGGCGUCUCGCCGCGGGACGUGGACCUGGUCGUGCUCAAUGUCGGGUCCUUCUCGCCGGCGCCGUCGCUGGCGGCGAGGGUCGUGGCCCGGUUCGGGAUGCGGGAGGACGUCCAGGCGUACAACCUGUCCGGCAUGGGGUGCAGCGCGGGGCUCGUGUCUGUGGAUCUCGCGCGGCAGGUCAUGCUCACCCGCCCGCGCACCAUGGCGCUGGUGGUCACCUCCGAGUCCUGCGCCCCCAACUGGUACAACGGCACCGACAAGUCCAUGAUGCUCGGCAACUGCCUCUUCCGCUGCGGCGGCGCCGCCGCGCUGCUCACCAACGACCCGGCCUACCGGUCCCGGGCCAAGAUGGAGCUGCGCUGCCUCGUGCGCGCGCACAUCGGCGCGCACGACGACGCGCACGCUGCCGCCGUGCACUGCGAGGACGCCGACGGCCGCCUCGGCGUCAGCCUCAGCAAGGCGCUCCCCAAGGCCGCCGUGCGCGCCUUCAGCGAGAACCUCCAGCGCCUGGCGCCGCGCAUCCUGCCGGCCGCCGAGCUCGCGCGCUUCACCGUGCGCCUCCUGGCGCGCAAGCUCAUGCGCCGGAAGCUCAAGUUCGAGGGCCCCAAGAUCAACUUCAAGACGGGGGUGGACCACUUCUGCCUCCACCCCGGCGGGACGGCCGUCAUCGAGGCGGUGAGGAAGAACCUGGGGCUCAACAGCUACGACGUCGAGCCGGCGACCAUGACGCUGCACCGGUGGGGGAACACGUCGGCGAGCAGCCUGUGGUACGUGCUCUCCUACAUGGAGGCGAAGCGGCGGCUCAAAGCAGGGGACAGGGUGCUCAUGGUCACCUUCGGCUCCGGGUUCAAGUGCAACAGCUGCUACUGGGAGGUGAGCAAGGACCUCGACGACGCCGGCGCCUGGGAAGACUGCAUCGACGACUACCCGCCGGAGACCAUGGUCAACCCCUACACGGAGAAGUUCGGAUGGGUCAACGACCUACAGGGCCAGGGAGGCGCCUUCCCGUUCUAA
rnacentral:rRNA from 1 species